AUGAUGUACAUUUAUAAUAAUUGAUAAGAUAUCAAUUACAUCAAAUUUAAAAGUAUCUUGUUUGUAGGCAAUUUAUUAACAACACAAUUGAUUUAUACAAUGUCAUCACAUCGCGGAUGUCAUCGUUAUUUAAUCAAUUUUUAUAUUUUUUUUUUUAUAACUACGUGAUAGUAGCUCGUCGAACAAAUUACUCAUGUAAUUGUAAUGUCUUUUGAACGUUCGAUGUACGAAUUAUAUACAUCAUCGUUCAAGUUUUUAAAUAUUUUUUAUUUAUUCUCUAAUUCAUAAAAUAUUUAAAUUCGAUGUACAACGAAUCACUGAAGUAUUCGUACACCCGCUGUUAAUUAUAAUCACAAUUAUUAUUUGCUUGUAAUACAAUAUUUCAACGUUUUUAUACACAAAUACAUAUUUUAAGAUUAUUCGAUUGUAAAAUUGAUAUCAAUAUUGUAACUUUCCAUUACAAGUAAAUUUCAUUUAUAUCAAAUUGAUCCUAAUGGGUUGCAGCCCAGAAUUUCAUACAAUCAAAGGGCCCCCUUCGCGGUAAAAAAAUAAUUAAAACAAUUGUCGACAAAAUGGCGAAUGAGUCGCCAUAACUAAUCCAAACUUUGGUUAAUUAGAUAGAUCUCCAAACAAUGUUAGUCCAGGACUCUCAAAGUUAAUGAUCCAUCUCUGAGGGUGGGCACGAAUACUUCUGUGAUUUAUUGUAACUAUAAUAUAUAUUAAAUAUAUAUAUAUAUAUAUAUAUAUAUAUAUAUAUAGUAUUCGUCAAUGAAUAAUAUUCAUCAUUGGUUCAUAACAUUCUUGUUUGAAACUUACAAAAAAUAUGAUAAAGAUUGUUAAAAAUAUUAUUAAACACAAAGAAACGAGGCUUUCUUUCAAUAGCAGAUCUGGCUUCCAUUUUAUCCAGUUUAAUAAACGUGCUACACCAUUUUUAAUACGAUGUACGUGAUCGUUAAUUUGAUCAGUAAUCGUCGGCAAGUAUACAAAGGCUUAUUUUUAUCCGCUGUCUUAUUAACUUCGUCGUAUAUUUAUCAUUGGAACCCUAUUACAAUUAUUAUCCUUAAUAAUAUUAUUAUAUUUAUCUACAGGCUUCUUUAUUUUCUUUAUUUUUGUUUCUUAUAUAUCGAGCAAACUUCAGUUUCCUAACAACUACGGUUUUUGUGGUCCAGUUUCUUAAAUGACUAAUAUUAUCAGUGGUAGCGGUCAUCUAUCCAUUUCCAAGCUUAAAGACGAGAAAAACGUGAAAAAUAUUUCUCUCUCAAUUUCAUUUAUAUUAUCCAAGAUAUUUAUAUAUAAACAAUAAUUUUCCCUUUCCUUAAGUUUAUCUUUCGAAAUAGUAAUUCAUUAUAUUUCUCACGAAGAAUAAAAUAAUUUACUGUAAUAUUUUUAUUUCUUAAUCUUUCACUACGAAGCACGAGAGGAAUUUGGAAAGGGUAUGAAGAAAUUGUUCGUAGAAACACGACGUUUGAUUUUCUUACCGAUGAAACACAAGGUCGAUCUCGACACUCUGAUUAAUUGUUUUUUUUAUUUUUUUUUAUUUUUCUUCUUCGAGAAAAUGUUGAUCUCGCAAGUAGCAUGUAAUAAAUACAAGAAAUAAUGUCAAAGAUAUGUAAUUGGGAAAUAACAAUAAAUCUAAUAUUCAAAUACUGAAGAGAUUCGUGUAAAACAUCAGCAAAAAGCAUUGAAGUUUUUACGAAAGAAUUGUUUCGAAUGAAAACAUUGGAGAUUGAUUUGUUUUAUGACAAGAUGGAGGAAGAGAAGAGCGCUCCUAAGAAUGACGAUAGGAUGCUAACGAGAUGAAUGGGAUGAGGUUGUACUUUGAGAACAUUUUCCUACCUUGGAAUAUACUCAGAAAGGUUCCUGACCUCCGAGACGAGAGAAAUUAUGGCGAUCGGAUACGGAUGAAGAUAAACGAUUGCCUUCCAUCGUUGAAUAACGAACGAACGAACGAUCGAAGGAAAGAAGGAAAGAAGGAACGAAGGAAGGAAUGAAGGAACGAACGAUAGCGUGACUCCUCCUGUGCAGUCGUCGGUGUACACAACCGGACUCUAAAAAUAAUCCUUGUCUCGCGCCAGACGUUUAAAAAAAAGACCUAAGAUAUCCCUUUAGAAGGAUGCACCGAAGAGAAGAGGAGUCUCCCCUUUAGUUGGAAGAGACUCGCGGAAUUUAAACUCUGACGAUCGUCGGUAAGAAAAUUGCAUAUUUUCUCUCUCUCUCUCUCUCUUUAUCUUUUUCUUUCUUUCUUUGACUAUACUCGGAUGGAACGGGUUUAGACGAGGCUGAGUAUCCAUCAGCCGUUUGGAAAGAGGAGCAAAGAAGAAGAAGAAAGAGAAGGAUGAAGAAGAUAUUCGUUUGGAGACCGGCGUAUGUUGACCGGACCGGACUGGACCGGACCGGCGUCGGUUCUCCGCACAUCGGACGGAUAAGUAGUUAGCGAUACCUAUAAAUAGGUACGACGGUAGUAGUCUAUAUAGGGAAUUAUCGUCGCCAUAAGACAGGAUUGUCGCAAGUUUCCUCUACGGGAUUUUCCUUCUUUUUUAUUUAUUUAUUUAUUUAUUUUUUUUUUUUUUUUAAUGAAAAACUGGCAGAACGAACGUUCCUAUUUAUCUAGAAAAUACUACUCAUCUUCGCUAAAGACCAUUUUUAUCUUGCCAAUGGUAUCUAAAUAUGACCAGUAAUUAUGAUAGUCGGACUUAUAUUAGUCAGAAAAAAAAAACAAAUAUGCGAAUGAUUUAUUUUACGAUUUAUUUUAUAAAUAUUAGUAAUAUAUUGAAUAAAUCGUAAAAUUCAUUAUUACUAUUUUUUCGACUCAAGUUCAUUGUCUUAAUUACCGAAACAAAUGAGUAGACACGCCUAUGUUUAUAUAUUAGGUCAUCACAAAAGUUUCUUUUUUUCUGUUUUCAAUAAAUUUUUAUGAUGUUCGAUUAUUAUUUUCAAAUGAUUACAAAUUCGGAGAAUAUUUUAUUAACUUUUUACUUUCUUUCGCAGCGAUCAAUAUUCUUGGAUUUCUUUCAUUCAUCUACCAUCGAAGAAAUUAUUUUAGAGAAAAAUUCGAUUAACUAGAUUUAGUUUAGAUUUGUUAAAAAAAAAAAAAAAUAGAGUGCAUCUUUACCUUAUCGAUUAA